rnacentral:lncRNA from 10 species
AAAAAUGUAAACAUUAAGUAAUAUAGACAUAAUAACUUAAUGAACUACCAUGUGCCCAUCACCCAGCUUCAACUCACUCCCCAAUCAAGGUGAGUGUGUAUCUCCCAUGAGUGAGUAAACUACCACGUGCCCAUCACCCAGCUUCAACAAGCAUCGACUCACUCUCCAAUCAAGGUGAAAUAUCAGACAUCAUGUGAUUUUAUCGGUUAGCUUCCAUUAUAAUUGUUGCUCCUUUGAAAGUAAACUUUGCUUCUCUUCCUACCUGUAA